rnacentral:tRNA from 1 species
CGAUGGGACUGCUGGCUAGGUCAUCGCCCUUUCAAGGCGAAGAACCAGGUUCGACUCCUGGCGCCUCGACCA